GAUGAACGCUGGCGGCGUGCCUAACACAUGCAAGUCGAGCGAUCUUCUUCGGAAGAGAGCGGCGGACGGGUGAGUAACGCGUGGGUAACCUGCCCUGUACACACGGAUAACAUACCGAAAGGUAUGCUAAUACGAGAUAAUAUACUUUUAUCGCAUGGUAGAAGUAUCAAAGUUCUGGCGGUACAGGAUGGACCCGCGUCUGAUUAGCUAGUUGGUAAGGUAACGGCUUACCAAGGCGACGAUCAGUAGCCGACCUGAGAGGGUGAUCGGCCACAUUGGAACUGAGACACGGUCCAAACUCCUACGGGAGGCAGCAGUGGGGAAUAUUGCACAAUGGGCGAAAGCCUGAUGCAGCAACGCCGCGUGAGCGAUGAAGGCCUUCGGGUCGUAAAGCUCUGUCCUCAAGGAAGAUAAUGACGGUACUUGAGGAGGAAGCCCCGGCUAACUACGUGCCAGCAGCCGCGGUAAGAC
rnacentral:rRNA from 1 species